rnacentral:rRNA from 1 species
UACGUAGGGGGCAAGCGUUGUCCGGAAUCAUUGGGCGUAAAGCGCGUGUAGGCGGCCAGGUAAGUCCGUUCUGAAAGCCCGGGGCUCAACCCCGGGAGGCGGAUGGAUACUGCUUGGCUCGAGUCCGGAAGGAGGCGAGUGGAAUUCCCGGUGUAGCGGUGAAAUGCGCAGAUAUCGGGAGGAACACCAAUGGCGAAGGCAGCUCGCUGGGACGGUACGUGACGCUGAGACGCGAAAGCGUGGGGAGCAAACAGGG